rnacentral:rRNA from 1 species
UGUAGCAUACAAGGCAUACGGCUCAGUAACGCGUAGUCAACCUAACCCAUGGACGGAAAUAACCUCGGGAAACUGAGAAUAAUGUCCGAUAGAACACUAUACCUGGAAUGGUUUGUGUUCCAAAUGAUUUAUCGCCGUAGGAUGGGACUGCGGCCUAUCAGUUUGUUGGUGAGGUAAUGGCCCACCAAGACUAUUACAGGUACGGGCUCUGAGAGGAGUAGCCCGGAGAUGGGUACUGAGACACGGACCCAGGCCCUAUGGGGCGCAGCAGGCGAGAAAACUUUGCAAUGUGCGAAAGCACGACAAGGUUAAUCCGAGUGAUUUGUGCUAAACGAAUCUUUUGUUAGUCUUAGAACCACUAACGAAUAAGGGGUGGGCAAGUUCUGGUGUCAGCCGCCGCGGUAAAACCAGCACCUCAAGUGGUCAGGAUGAUUAUUGGGCCUAAAGCAUCCGUAGCCGGCUCUGUAAGUUUUCGGUUAAAUCUGUACGCUCAACGUACAGGCUGCCGGGAAUACUGCAGAGCUAGGGAGUGGGAGAGGUAGACGGUACUCGGAAGGAAGGGGUAAAAUGCUUUGAUCUUUUGAUGACCACCUGUGGCGAAAGCGGUCUACCAGAACACGUCCGACGGUGAGGGAUGAAAGCUGGGGGAGCAACCGGAUUAGAUACCUGGUUAGUCCCAGCUGUAACUAUGCAACUCAGUGAUGCAGUGGACCUUGUUGUCAAUGGCAGGCGCUUGCA